UACGGGGGGGGCAAGCGUUGUUCGGAAUUACUGGGCGUAAAGGGCUCGUAGGCGGCCAACUAAGUCAGACGUGAAAUCCCUCGGCUUAACCGGGGAACUGCGUCUGAUACUGGAUGGCUUGAGUGUAGGAGAGGGAUGCGGAAUUCCAGGUGUAGCGGUGAAAUUCGUAGAUAUUAGGAAGAACACCGGUGGCGAAGGCGGCCCACUGGAUCGGUACUGACGCUGAGGUGCGAAAGCGUGGGGAGCAAACAGG
rnacentral:rRNA from 1 species